rnacentral:rRNA from 1 species
GGCGGACGGGUGAGUAAUGUCUGGGAAACUGCCCGAUGGAGGGGGAUAACUACUGGAAACGGUAGCUAAUACCGCAUAACGUCGCAAGACCAAAGAGGGGGACCUUCGGGCCUCUUGCCAUCGGAUGUGCCCAGAUGGGAUUAGCUAGUAGGUGGGGUGACGGCUUACCUAGGCGACGAUCCCUAGCUGGUCUGAGAGGAUGACCAGCCACACUGGAACUGAGACACGGUCCAG